rnacentral:rRNA from 1 species
GAUGAACGCUGGCGGCGUGCUUAGCACAUGCAAGUCGAACGGGAAAUACUUUAUUGAAACUUUGGUGGAUUUAAUUUAUUUCUAGUGGCGGACGGGUGAGUAACGCGUGGGUAACCUGCCUUAUACUGGGGGAUAACAGCCAGAAAUGACUGCUAAUACCGCAUAAGCGCACAGAACCGCAUGGUUCCGUGUGAAAAACUCCGGUGGUAUAAGAUGGACCCGCGUUGGAUUAGCUAGUUGGCAGGGCAGCGGCCUACCAAGGCGACGAUCCAUAGCCGGCCUGAGAGGGUGAACGGCCACAUUGGGACUGAGACACGGCCCAGACUCCUACGGGAGGCAGCAGUGGGGAAUAUUGCACAAUGGGGGAAACCCUGAUGCAGCGACGCCGCGUGAAGGAAGAAGUAUCUCGGUAUGUAAACUUCUAUCAGCAGGGAAGAUAAUGACGGUA